AUUUUUAUGGUGUAAAUAACACAUGGUCCUUUCAAGACCAAGCUAACUACCCGUUUAAAAAUA
rnacentral:tRNA from 1 species